CUACGGGGGGCACCAGUGGGGAAUAUUGGACAAUGGGGGAAACCCUGAUCCAGCAAUGCCGCGUGUGUGAAGAAGGCCUGCGGGUUGUAAAGCACUUUCGGUUGGGAGGACUGCUUCUAGCACUAAUAUUGUUGGAAGUUGACGUUACCUUCAGAAGAAGCACCGGCUAACUCCGUGCCAGCAGCCGCGGUAAUACGGAGGGUGCAAGGCGUUAAUCGGAAUUACUGGGCGUAAAGCGCGCGUAGGCGGCUAGAUCAGUCGGGUGUGAAAGCCCCGGGCUUAACCUGGGAACUGCAUCCGAUACUGUCUAGCUUGAGUACAGGAGGGGAGAGUGGAAUUCCACAUGUAGCGGUGAAAUGCGUAGAUAUGUGGAGGAACACCAAUGGCGAAGGCAGCUCUCUGGCCUGAUACUGACGCUGAGGUGCGAAAGCGUGGGGAGCAAACAGGAUUAGAUACCCCGGUAGUC
rnacentral:rRNA from 1 species